AGAGUGGAGUGGCUGUCAGAGAUGCCUGAUGUUUUGGCCUAAGGACCAGUCAGUGAGGCAAUGGAGCAAGCAAGGGAUCACUUACACCUGAGAUGGACUACAGAACAGCACAUGCCCGAGGUGGAAGUUCAAGUCAAAUACAGAACAGCUGCACUGAGCAACCAAGAGUGUCAAUUGUACCUGAGGCAUUCUCAGCAGCAGCAAGUGCUUGUGGUGGAUUUCCAGGCCAAACUGAGACAGGUAUUCAUAACUGAGACACCAAGAUGUGGUAAAAAGCCGUACUGGAACAAUGAGGAAGCUGAAUCCAAGCAAAAUCCAGGCUCCAUCUACUGUUUGCUUCUGC
rnacentral:lncRNA from 1 species